UCAUGUCGUUCUGUUUGCAGCCUGUCGGUACGUGGCGAGGAAGAUCCGGGCUGCGGCGCGAGGAGAGGAGCAGCCGGAGAAGCCGAGCACCGCGGGAUGCAAGCAGGCUAAAUCUCGCAAGGGCGACAGGAUGAGCAGCGAACCCGCCCUGAUGACCCCGCCCACAGAGCAGGGCAUCGACGUGCUGCCGAAGGAGAACUGCGGGUCCUGAAAGUAAGCCGAGAGCUGGAGGGCAGGGAGGUCCAAAAAGCCUCCCAAUCAGACGCCGUGCCAAACCGCCUGAUCAGACGCUGGCUCUGACCUCGACCUCUUCCUGCUUCCGGCUCUCGGCGCUCUUUCGGCUCCUCCUUCCUCACGUCUCGGAGCGUCUGCAGAGAGGAUGAAAGGCUGCUCACCAAUUCCCCGCUCGAGGACCUGAGCAGCCCUGAUGACCGUGGCGGUCUCUGCUGACGGCGCUCUCACGCCAACCGCGCUUGUUUCUGUUGUUGCUUUAAUAAAAACAGUUUUAAACCUGA